rnacentral:rRNA from 1 species
UACGUAGGGGGCAAGCUUUGUCCGGAUUUAUUGGGCGUAAAGAGCGUGUAGGCGGCCCGACAGGUCCGUUGUGAAAACUCGAGGCUCAACCUCGAGACGUCGAUGGAAACCGUCUGGCUAGAGUCCGGAAGAGGAGUGUGGAAUUCCUGGUGUAGCGGUGAAAUGCGCAGAUAUCAGGAAGAACACCUAUGGCGAAGGCAGCACUCUGGGACGGUACUGACGCUGAGAAGCGAAAGCAUGGGGAGCGAACAGG